CCCUAGCAGCCUCACGCGCGCGUCUCCUUCCUCUCUUCUCUCCCGAGCCACAGCCGAGUCUUCUUCCUUCACUCUCCCUCGCGAGUUCCAGCACCAGCGGCCGGCAAGCUUCUCCUCCUCCUCGCGCAAGCGAGCCAAGUCCUCCGGCGAUUUCCUUUCUUCCCGAGUCCUCAACCUCUCGCGACCCCUCCUUCUCACGCGGCCACCACAGCCGCGACCUUGCUUCCUCCAGCUAGCACCGAGACGCCGCACCAGCGCCGGUCACACCGAGCCCCAGCUGCCGACCUUUCCUCCUCACGCAAUCCCUCCCCCUCGCACGAGCACCGCGGACCCCAGCCGCCAAUCCUCAUCUCUCCCGAGCCGUGCCCUAACGAAUCUGACAGGACUCUGAUUUAGGGCAAGCAGCACAACGUGAAUUUAUUCUGAUACGAUCGACAAGUAAAGACGGGUAAAAGAUAGAUGAGUCAUGGAUGCUUGGAGAGAUGUCGACUGCCAGUCCUGGGUCCUACG